rnacentral:lncRNA from 1 species
CGUAUUUCCAUGCCGUGCAUGACGUCACAGCGGGUAGGGCGCAAUCACAUGGAUUUCGGGGCUGGACAGGAAGCGGAGACGCCAGGAGCAACGCGCAUCGGUCCGCAGCUCAGAACGGGAAUGGAAGCGGGAGAGAAACGGGAGGCUCGCUCGUCUCACCACCACCACCACCACCAUCAUCAUCAUCAAAUAUAAGCGAUCGGCACGGGCAGCGAAAACCCGCUUGAGGUGGAAGCGGAGCUGGGAUUCUGUCGCUGGAUUUGCGCAACACAUCAGUGGCUAUUUUCCAUUGUUACCGUUUCCUUCGGACAAGACAGAAGCCGCAGAACCGUCGGCUGGUUUGCGACAAUUGAUUGAGGAACUUUUCCAUUCAGAAAUCAGCUUGGCACUGCCACAGAACCAAAGGUCUGAGACCUGCGGCCUGCCGUACAUUCCAGCGCACGUGUGCACACAGACACACUAUCAUUAACCCCUCGAACCCCUCCUCGAGGAAACCUCAGUGCUGCUUCC